rnacentral:rRNA from 1 species
AGAGUUUGAUCCUGAGCUCAGGACGAACGCUGGCGGCGUGCCUAACACAUGCAAGUCGAACGGGGUAAGCUCUUCGGAACUUACUUAGUGGCGAACGGGUGAGUAACGCGUGAGAAACCUGCCUUUCAGUGGGGGGACAACAGUUGGAAACGACUGCUAAUACCGCAUAAUGUCAUUUGGGGGCAUCCCUGAAUGACCAAAGCUUUAUGUGCUGAAAGAUGGUCUCGCGUCUGAUUAGCUAGUUGGUGAGGUAACGGCUCACCAAGGCGACGAUCAGUAUCCGGUCUGAGAGGAUGAACGGCCACAUUGGGACUGAGAUACGGCCCAGACUCCUACGGGAGGCAGCAGUGGGGAAUAUUGGGCAAUGGGGGAAACCCUGACCCAGCAACGCCGCGUGAAGGAAGAAGGCCUUCGGGUUGUAAACUUCUUUUACCAGGGACGAAGGACGUGACGGUACCUGGAGAAAAAGCAACGGCUAACUACGUGCCAGCAGCCGCGGUAAUACGUACGUUGCAAGCGUUGUCCGGAUUUACUGGGUGUAAAGGGCGUGUAGGCGGAGCUGUAAGUCAUAUGUGAAAUCCCGGGGCUCAACCCCGGAACUGCAUACGAAACUGUAGCCCUUGAGUAUCGGAGACGCAAGCGGAAUUCCUAGUGUAGCGGUGAAAUGCGUAGAUAUUAGGAGGAACACCAGUGGCGAAUGCGGCUUGCUGGACGACAACUGACGCUGAGGCGCGAAAGCGUGGGGAGCAAACAGGAUUAGAUACCUGGUAGUCCACGCUGUAAACGAUGAAUACUAGGUGUGGGGGGACUGACCCCUUCCGUGCCGCAGUUAACACAAUAAGUAUUCCACCUGGGGAGUACGACCGCAAGGUUGAAACUCAAAGGAAUUGACGGGGGCCCGCACAAGCAGUGGAUUAUGUGGUUUAAUUCGACGCAACGCGAAGAACCUUACCAGGAUUUGACAUCCAACUAACGAAGUAGAGAUACAUUAGGUGCCCUUCGGGGAAAGUUGAGACAGGUGGUGCAUGGUUGUCGUCAGCUCGUGUCGUGAGAUGUUGGGUUAAGUCCCGCAACGAGCGCAACCCCUAUUGUUAGUUGCUACGAAAGAGCACUCUAGCGAGACUGCCGUUGACAAAACGGAGGAAGGCGGGGACGACGUCAAAUCAUCAUGCCCCUUAUGUCCUGGGCUACACACGUAAUACAAUGGUGGUUAACAGAGGGAAGCAAAGCCGCGAGGUGGAGCAAAUCCCUAAAAGCCAUCUCAGUUCGGAUUGCAGGCGGCAACUCGCCUGCAUGAAGCUGGAAUUGCUAGUAAUCGCGGAUCAGCAUGCCGCGUGAAUACGUUCCCGGGCCUUGACACACCGCCCGUCA